GUGGUCCGUCGGCGCCUGCUGCAGCAGUACGAGCAGCAGCACUUCGUCUCCUGCCUGGCUGGCUUCUACAGCUGCCGCUGGAAGCGCUACCAGCGCGAGAGGAUCGAGCCUGGGAAAUGCUGCUGCAGCCUGCGGGAAUGCAUGUUUUUCCCAUUGCUCAUUGCAGCUUUCUGCUUUUCUCUGGUCUUUCUGUACACGUGGGGUGAAGGUAAAAAUGACUACAACAGCUUUGACUGGUAUAACUAUGGGAACAUGGGCUACUGGUUUCUCUGGUCUCUUGUUAUCCUGAUUGUGGCUGCAAUCUUGUUCGCAUACGUCUCACUGUUACUGGUAAGUAAUGCUCCUUGUGAGCUGGCCUUGA
rnacentral:lncRNA from 1 species